rnacentral:miRNA from 2 species
UAGCACCAUAUGAAAUCAGUUAU